ACCGGGAUGGACGUACCUCUGGUGUACCGGUUGUAGCGCCAGCUGCACCGCCGGGUAGCUAAGUACGGAAGGGAUAACCGCUGAAAGCAUCUAAGCGGGAAGCCCCCCUCAAAACCAGGUAUCCCUUGAGAGCCGUGGAAGACCACCACGUCGAUAGGCUGGAAGUGGAAGCGCAGCAAUGUGUGGAGCGGACCAGUACUAAUUGCUCGAUAGGCUUGAUC
rnacentral:rRNA from 1 species